GACGAACGCUGGCGGCGUGCUUAACACAUGCAAGUCGAACGGAAAGGCCCUGCUUUUGUGGGGUGCUCGAGUGGCGAACGGGUGAGUAACACGUGAGUAACCUGCCCUUGACUUUGGGAUAACUUCAGGAAACUGGGGCUAAUACCGGAUAGGAGCUCCUGCUGCAUGGUGGGGGUUGGAAAGUUUCGGCGGUUGGGGAUGGACUCGCGGCUUAUCAGCUUGUUGGUGGGGUAGUGGCUUACCAAGGCUUUGACGGGUAGCCGGCCUGAGAGGGUGUCCGGCCACAUUGGGACUGAGAUACGGCCCAGACUCCUACGGGAGGCAGCAGUGGGGAAUAUUGCACAAUGGGCGGAGGCCUGAUGCAGCAACGCCGCGUGCGGGAUGACGGCCUUCGGGUUGUAAACCGCUUUCGCCUGUGACGAAGCGUGAGUGACGGUAAUGGGUAAAGAAGCACCGGCUAACUACGUG
rnacentral:rRNA from 1 species